rnacentral:lncRNA from 1 species
UCGCCACCAGAGUUGUUGUCAACUGAAGUUGUUGCUCGCAUGUUCACCAUAUUGUAAAGGAUUUGAGAGGCAGACAACGAGUUGAUCGUCAUUUAUUGAGGUGGCUCAGAUCAGUUUUAUCAGGGACUCACGGUGUGCGUCAAUUGUACUUGUUAAAAAAGUACAAUGAGGAUAGUCCCGAGUUUGUAGGGUGUUUGAGUGUUUAG